GUAGCGGCGAGCGAACACGGAAGAGCCCAGCGCUGAAUCCCCCGGUCCGGUUCGGGCCGGCGGGAAAUGUAGCGUUAGGGAGCGCCCGUCAACCCGGUGCGCGCGCGGCGAGCCCAAGUCUCCCUUGAACGGUGCCACAAUCCAUAGAGGGUGCCAGGCCCGUACGGCCGCCGCCGCGCCCGAGUGGGCGUCUCCUGGGAGUCGGUCUGCUUGAGAACGCAGACCUAAGUGGGUGGUAAACUCCAUCUAAGGCUAAAUACGACCACGAGACCGAUAGCGCACAAGUACCGUGAGGGAAAGGUGAAAAGAACUUUGAAGAGAGAGUUCAAGAGUACGUGAAACUGGAGAGGUGAAAACGGAAGUGGCUCGAAAUUCCGAACGGUGGUGUUCAGUCUCACCGACCUCGGCGCCCGCGCCCGGGAGGACCCAAGGGCAUCCGCGGUCACGGCGCGCGUCGGCCCCCCCGCUCUGCGGGGGUGUGUCGGCCGCGUCGCCCGCGGUGCCCCUCCCGGUUUUGCGAUGGGAUCGGCUCGGGGCGGUGUGGAUGCACUCGCUGCCGUAGUAGGAUGUCGCGACCCGUCGGUGCGACGGUCAGUGAGGCCCUGGGGAGGCCAGCCCGGUGUCCGCGCGUCACGCACCCCUGGGGUAAAAUGCGUGCAGUACGGCCCGGACUCCCCGGUGUUCCUCUCCGUCUGCCCGGCGGUAUCGAAAGCGCGCCGGCCGCAGCCCCCCGCUGUAUCACGGCCCCAUGGCUGAACCGCCGAGGCGCCUCCCGCGGGCGCGGUCUCCCCUCGUGGGUGCCGCGCCUCUCGCGGGGCCAAAGGCGUCGGAGCGGUCCCCAGUUCGGGCAUGGCGGGGUGUGCGUAUGAAAGUCGGCCGGCUCGUCUGCGGCAUUGCCUGAUUCGGGUCCACUUCCGACCCGUCUUGAAACACGGACCAAGGAGCGUAACACAUGCGCGAGUCGAAGGGUGCUACUAAACCCGGAGGCGAAGCGAAAGCAUAAGGGGCGAUGGCAGAGUGGCGGUGGUGACGCGGUGCGUGUUCGGCCCUCACGGGUCGUCUCGCGUCCCGCCACCGUCCUGGUCGUGCUCUCCGGUCGCGGUGUCAAAGCCGCCUCCGGAUCCGGCCGGCCCGCAGCCCCGGGGCACCUCAUACGGCUCUGCGGUCCUCUCCCCGGUUGGGGGUUCCCUCUCUCUCUCCGGCCAACGGGCUUCGCAGCCCCGCGUGUCCGGUCCGCGAGGUACGGGGCCCCCUCCUAUCGGGGGUCCAACGGGGGCCGCUGAGUCGAGGCGCACCUGAGAGCGCCUGUGUUGUUACCCGAAAGAUGGUGAACUAUGCCUGGCCAGGACGAAGCCAGGGGAAACCCUGGUGGAAGUCCGUAGCGAUUCUGACGUGCAAAUCGAUCGUCGGAGCUGGGUAUAGGGGCGAAAGACUAAUCGAACCAUCUAGUAGCUGGUUCCCUCCGAAGUUUCCCUCAGGAUAGCUGGCACUCGGAGAAGACCGGGAUGAUGAGUCUCAUCCGGUAAAGCGAAUGAUUAGAGGCCUUGGGGCCGAAACGACCUCAACCUAUUCUCAAACUUUAAAUGGGUGAGAACCCCGGCUUGCUUGAGACGGGGAGACCCCCGCGCAGAACGCCGUCCGGCCCGCCCGUCGUCGUGUCCGCGCCCGCCCGCCCGUGUCCUCGGGUGCCCUCUGCUUCCCGGCUUCGCGGCCGGUGGCUCUGGGAUUUCCUGGGGGCAACGGUGUCGGGGGGUGUCGCGGGCAAUGUUCGGCGGAACGGUCACCGGGCGGUAGGGGGCUCCCUCAUGAACAGUUUUUAUAAUGAAGCCGGGGAAUUUUCUUACUGGAUCAUGAGUGCCAAGUGGGCCAAUUUUGGUAAGCAGAACUGGCGCUGUGGGAUGAACCAAACGCAGAGUUAAAGCGCCUAAAUGGACGCUCAUGGGAGACCAUGAAAGGUGUUGGUUGCUUAAGACAGCAGGACGGUGGCCAUGGAAGUCGGAAUCCGCUAAGGAGUGUGUAACAACUCACCUGCCGAAGCAACUAGCCCUUAAAAUGGAUGGCGCUGAAGCGUCCUGCUCAUACUCUGCCGCCGGUGGCAAAAGCGGCCGGUAAGGCGGACGGGCUUCCCCCCUGGCGGGGGUCGCAUCCGGCCCCGAGCCCUGAGGCCCCGGUGAGUAGGAGGGUCGCUCGGGUGUGCGCAGAAGGGUCUGGGCGUGAGCCUGCCUGGAGCCGCCCGAGGUGCAGAUCUUGGUGGUAGUAGCAAAUACUCCAGAGAGGGCCCUGGAGGGCUGAUGCGGAGAAGGGUUCCGUGUGAACAGCUGUUGCACACGGGUCAGUCGAUCCUAAGCCCUAGGAGAACUCCUAUGUGCGAUGUCACGGGUGGUUAUUGAACCGAUUAAACACUAUAAAACCCCCGUCGCCGGGCGAAAGGGAAUCAGGUUCCUAUUCCUGAACCCAGAUGCGGUACCGUUCCACCGGGCUUGUCUCGAAGCCGUCCCCCGUGCCGUGUUUAGCGGGCCCCGGGGGGCCGCGCGCGCUGCGGCACACUCGCUGUGUCCGCUCGCGUGUCGGUCUCCCCCGCGGGUACCGCGGCGGCACCGGCGGGGCGCGCCUAGGGCGAACUCGUCGGGGUAACCCGAACAGCCGCGGAGAAGCCGGCAGGAGCCCCCGGGAGAGUUGUCUUUUCUGUAUUACCGCGCAAGUUCCCUGGAAUUCCAUUGCGGAGAGAGAGGGAAUAGCGCGGGAAGAGCACCGCACUUGCGGCGGUGUCGGGGGUGUCCUCUCGGACCAUGAAAAUC
rnacentral:rRNA from 1 species